rnacentral:rRNA from 1 species
UAUACAACGUAUUAGGUUUUACCAACUCGUUGGCUAUUAGAGCAGGAUUUUAAUUGUCUGGCGAUAAAACAAUUCAUUCUACAAUUUGACCUCAAAUCAGGUGAGACUACCCGCUGAACUUAAGCAUAUCAAUAAGCGGAGGAAAAGAAACCAACAGGGAUUGCCUUAGUAACGGCGAGUGAAGUGGCAAAAGCUCAAAUUUGAAAUCUGGCGCCUUUGGUGUCCGAGUUGUAAUUUGAAGAAGGUAACUUUGAGAUUGGCCCUUGCAUAAGUUCCUUGGAACAGGACGUCAUAGAGGGUGAGAAUCCCGUUUAUGGUGAGGUGCCCAAUUUCUUGUAAAGUGCUUUCGAAGAGUCGAGUUGUUUGGGAAUGCAGCUCUAAGUGGGUGGUAAAUUCCAUCUAAGGCUAAAUAUUGGCGAGAGACCGAUAGCGAACAAGUACAGUGAUGGAAAGAUGAAAAGAACUUUGAAAAGAGAGUGAAAAAGUACGUGAAAUUGUUGAAAGGGAAGGGCAUAAGAUCAGACUUGGUAUUCAGUGAUCAACUUUCUUUCGGGAUUGUGCACUCGCUGUUUACUGGGCCAAUAUCAGUUUUGGUGGUAGGAUAAUGAUUUAGGAAUGUGGCUCCUCGGAGUGUUAUAGCCUAGGUUGAUACUACCUACCGGGACUGAGGACAGCGCUUUUGCUAGGAUAUUGGCGUAAUGAUCUUAUGCCACCCGUCUUGA